rnacentral:tRNA from 1 species
AGCAAGAUAAGCUAAUCAAGCUGUUGGGCCCAUACCCCAAAAAUUCAGGUGAAACCCCUGAUUUUGCUA